UCUGUCCUGAAGCAGAAACAGGCCCUGGGCUUUGUCCAGGCCUCCUCCUCUUUCCCACAGCCUCAGGACCCUCGGGAUUGAUGAUCACCAGGUGCAGGUGAUCCCAACAUGAAGACUGUACGGAGUGGGAGGUCUGUGCCGAUUUUUCUCAUUCAAUAGGGAAUGGGCUGAGUGGCUGGGGCCUGAGUGGCACUCAAGAUCUCUGUCCACUCCUCAUCCCAGGCUAAAGCCCUCCCUUGCGGCCAAGGGCCACUGGGCCCAUCACCUCCCUCUGGCUUCUGCCCACAGAUCUAGAUGUUUCCAUGGUGACUGAGACGAGGAUACACUCGGGUUGCCGCUUUGAGGAUGGCUGCAGUCACCAUCCAGGGACAGGGCAGAGAUGCGCGUGCAGCCAUGGAUUUGCGUGUAGCUGGCCACAGAUGGGUGUACAGCAAAGUGAGCCCCACGCAUGCGUAGACCCUCCCUCGGCUUCUGCUCUCCAUGGAAACACAAUUGAUCAUUUGAUCACUGAUCACGUGGAGAGGCAAAGAAGGUCUGCUCCGGACUGGGAAGCAGCUGCGCCCUGGACGGAGAGGGGCGGGGACUCCUUGGCGCAGGCUGAAGGAGGGCAGGUGUCGCUGGCGGAGGCAGUGACGGGGGGACACAGCCGCCACUGGAUAUCCCUGUGCAAGUUUCUUCGCUUUCCUGUGCAUCAGUGCUUACAUUGGGGUAAUAAUAAAUGGUGUGUUAAAAAAUUAAA